AACCCCAAAUGGGGUCCGCGCUCGGGAUGCGGUGUGCGGGUCUCUUCGCUUUCGCAGCUCUGGCUAUAGUGGGAUUUGCAUGCGCUGAUACCUCCGAGCCCUCUCAAGGUGAAUUCACAACAUGGCUGAAGUACAUGUCGGAUACCUCUGACAACGACGCAGUGGAUGAUGUAGCACCUGUCGCGGAGGCGGAUACCGUCACAGGGACAUGGACUGGCGGUGACCUUUACAACCUUGACAAGGACCAUGGUGAUGAAGCUAAGAAGCCGAAGGUGAACAGGGACAGCAUUGGCGUGUUGCCGAAGCCCACAGGGAAGCCGAAGAAAGUUGUCGUUUCUCAGGAUG
rnacentral:lncRNA from 1 species